UUGCGGCGUGCUUAACACAUGCAAGUCGAACGGAAAGGCCCUGCUUUUGUGGGGUGCUCGAGUGGCGAACGGGUGAGUAACACGUGAGUAACCUGCCCUUGACUUUGGGAUAACUUCAGGAAACUGGGGCUAAUACCGGAUAGGAGCUCCUGCUGCAUGGUGGGGGUUGGAAAGUUUCGGCGGUUGGGGAUGGACUCGCGGCUUAUCAGCUUGUUGGUGGGGUAGUGGCUUACCAAGGCUUUGACGGGUAGCCGGCCUGAGAGGGUGACCGGCCACAUUGGGACUGAGAUACGGCCCAGACUCCUACGGGAGGCAGCAGUGGGGAAUAUUGCACAAUGGGCGGAAGCCUGAUGCAGCAACGCCGCGUGCGGGAUGACGGCCUUCGGGUUGUAAACCGCUUUCGCCUGUGACGAAGCGUGAGUGACGGUAAUGGGUAAAGAAGCACCGGCUAACUACGUGCCAGCAGCCGCGGUGAUACGUAGGGUGCGAGCGUUGUCCGGAUUUAUUGGGCGUAAAGGGCUCGUAGGUGGUUGAUCGCGUCGGAAGUGUAAUCUUGGGGCUUAACCCUGAGCGUGCUUUCGAUACGGGUUGACUUGAGGAAGGUAGGGGAGAAUGGAAUUCCUGGUGGAGCGGUGGAAUGCGCAGAUAUCAGGAGGAACACCAGUGGCGAAGGCGGUUCUCUGGGCCUUUCCUGACGCUGAGGAGCGAAAGCGUGGGGAGCGAACAGGCUUAGAUACCCUGGUAGUCCACGCUGUAAACGGUGGGUACUAGGUGUGGGGUCCAUUCCACGGGUUCCGUGCCGUAGCUAACGCUUUAAGUACCCCGCCUGGGGAGUACGGCCGCAAGGCUAAAACUCAAAGGAAUUGACGGGGCCCCGCACAAGCGGCGGAGCAUGCGGAUUAAUUCGAUGCAACGCGUAGAACCUUACCUGGGUUUGACAUGGAUCGGGAGUGCUCAGAGAUGGGUGUGCCUCUUUUGGGGUCGGUUCACAGGUGGUGCAUGGCUGUCGUCAGCUCGUGUCGUGAGAUGUUGGGUUAAGUCCCGCAACGAGCGCAACCCUUGUUCACUGUUGCCAGCACGUUAUGGUGGGGACUCAGUGGAGACCGCCGGGGUCAACUCGGAGGAAGGUGGGGAUGACGUCAAGUCAUCAUGCCCCUUAUGUCCAGGGCUUCACGCAUGCUACAAUGGCUGGUACAGAGAGUGGCGAGCCUGUGAGGGUGAGCGAAUCUCGGAAAGCCGGUCUCAGUUCGGAUUGGGGUCUGCAACUCGACCUCAUGAAGUCGGAGUCGCUAGUAAUCGCAGAUCAGCAACGCUGCGGUGAAUACGUUCCCGGGGCUUGUACACACCGCCCGUCAAGUCAUGAAAGUUGGUAACACCCGAAGCCGGUGGCCUAACCGUUGUGGGGGAGCCGUCGAAGGUGGGACUGGUGAUUAGGACU
rnacentral:rRNA from 1 species